CACGUAGGGGGCAAGCGUUGUCCGGAUUUAUUGGGCGUAAAGAGCUCGUAGGUGGUUCGAUAAGUCAGGUGUGAAACCUCCAGGCUCAACCUGGAGACGCCACUUGAUACUGUCGUGACUGGAGUCCGGUAGGGGAGCGUGGAAUUCCUGGUGUAGCGGUGAAAUGCGCAGAUAUCGUAAGGAAGACCAGUGGCGAAGGCGAAUCUCUGGACAGUUACUGACACUGAGGCUCGAAGGCCAGGGGAGCAAACGGGG
rnacentral:rRNA from 1 species